GUACACUGCCCUGAGGUACUCCUCUGGAGACCAACACCCACUCAGAUGUUACGUCUCCAAUUUUGACUUUCUGCAAUCUUCCAGAGAGAUAGUUCUCGAAGAGCGUACAAGCACCGUCACUCAGGCCAUACGCUUUUAGUUUGGCUAAAAGAAAAGCAUGUGGUAUCGUAUCCAACGCCUUCGAUAAGUCCAUUGAGACAUCCCCAACGAGUUUUUUUUUGUCUCUACUCCUUUUCCAGUCGUCUGUUAGUCUAAGAAGCGAAUUCUCACAACUGUAAAAUUUUCUGUAGGCGGAGAGAAACUUUGAUAGGAGCCCACUGAAGAAUUCUUCGAACUGAGAAGUCAGUAGCUUUUCAAAUAUAUUAUUCAGACAGGGAGUACUAUGGGUGCCUGUACGGUAUAAAUAUUAGGAAAAUCAUUAAGUGAACUUUAAAUUUGAUUUAUACGUGUAGAAAAAAUCACACGAUUUGUUUAUUUUUUACCUUGAUACUCACUGUAACCUGGGCAGUGGGGAUGAGUGCUCGCCUCCCGCUGCUACAGCUCGGGCUGGAUUUCGGGACCUGACGACACAUGUGGGUUGUGUUUGUUGUUGGUUCUCCUCCUUUCCCCGAGGGUUUUUCUCUGGGUCCUUUGGUUUUCAUCUCUUCGCAAAAACCAACAUUCCUGGAAGAGCCACCACGUGGAAUGUUCAAUGCUAGAUGAUAAUGAGAAUUAUUAUUAUUUUAAUUAUUAUGAUUAUUAGUAUUAUCAACCCACCAUUCGGAGGUGUUUCACUUUGUACAACCCUUUUGCUGUUCCCCGUGUACCUGUACAUUUAUAAGGUUGUACCUCGAUUUUCGCGAUUUAGAAACUGUUCUGUUUACCGUUAUUUCCCCUCCAGCCUUUCUUAGCGGAAAUAUUCAAGACGCCGAAGAUGAGUCCAAGGAAGAAAGGAAAAUCGAAUAUCCAAGAUUACCAAGUGACUUCACAGCGGCUUGUGUACGGUUCCUUUGGCAUGUUCUGAAACCGCGGAAUUCUUAGUGCGUGCGAGUCAUACAUCCCUGUCGUGUUCUUUCGUUGUCCCUUGCAUGGGUCGUCCUGUUUCUCCGAUGUAGACUGUGCCGCAUGUGCAUGGUAUCUUGUAGACUACGCCAUCUUGCUUGUACGGAUGAGCGGGAUCUUCUGAUCUGACCAGCCGAGAUCUUGGUGUGGUGUCGGACUUAACGACGGUGUGUAUUCCUUGUUGCUGUAGAUGGCGGUGGAGGGGUUCUGAGACUCCUUUG